rnacentral:rRNA from 1 species
UACGUAGGGGCCAAGCGUUGUCCGGAUUUAUUGGGCGUAAAGAGCUCGUAGGUGGUUCGGCAAGUCAGUUGUGAAAUCUCCGCGCUCAACGCGGAGGGGUCAGCUGAAACUGCUGUGACUUGAGUCUGGUAGGGGAGUGUGGAAUUCCCGGUGUAGCGGUGAAAUGCGUAGAUAUCGGAAGGAACAUCAGUGGCGAAAGCGGCUUCCUGGACCAGUACCGACGUUCAGGCACGAAAGCGUGGGGAGCAAACAGG